CCUACGGGAGGCAGCAGUGGGGAAUAUUGGGCAAUGGAGGAAACUCUGACCCAGCAACGCAGCGUGAAUGAUGACGGUCCUCGGAUUGUAAAGUUCUUUUUUUAGGGGAGUAGAGAGUGACGGUACCUUUGGAUUGAGCCUAGGCUAUCUACGUGCCUGCAGCCGCGGUAAUACGUAGGAGGCGAGCGUUAUCCGGAUGGACUGGGUGUAAAGGGUGCGUAGGUGGUUUGGCAAGUUAGUAGCGUAACUCCAAGGCUCAACCUUGGAAAUACUACUAAAACAGUUGGACUUGAGUGCAGGAGGGGCAGGCGGAAUUCGUAGUGUAGCGGUGGAAUGCGUAGAUAUUAGGAGGAACACCAGUUGCGAAGGCAGGUUGCUAGACUGUAACUGACACUGAGGCACGAAAGCGUGGGGAGCAAACAGGAUUAGAUACCCGAGUAGUC
rnacentral:rRNA from 1 species